CUAGAAUGCUUAGGUCUAAGGACCAGAUGCUUCUAAUAGUACCAAAGGGCUGUCUAAAAUCUAGAGUGUGAUUCUGCAUCUAAACAUUCAGAGGACCAGUUUUUAGCUGUAUUCAAUCAGGACUGUGGAAAGCAGAGAAACUUGUAGACUUCACAGGUGACUGCAGGCAUCUGCCAAUGCAUGCACCCAAGGAGAAGAAAUCUUCUCUUUUUCUAGACA